rnacentral:lncRNA from 1 species
GUGAUUUGAGUGGGAUGGAAGUGUAAUUGUGUAGUUGGUGUGGUGAUAUUAGUCGUUAUCUAUGAAGCAUAUGAUACUGAGUACUGACGACUGGCUGCGACAUUGACAAUGUAUCUGUUUUGAAUGAAUAGUAGUACUAUCUGUUUUGAAAUUGUGUGGUUGGUGUGGUGAUAUUUGUCUUUUUCUAUGAAGCACGGACACUAGACAUGAUAUUGAUUGCUACACUGACAAUGUAGACAGCGAUAAUAAUUUCAGAAAAUGGAAGUGAUUUGAGUGGAAUGAAAGUGAAAUUGUGUGUAGCUGGUGUGGUGAUACUAAUUGUUAUAUAUGAAGCACAAACACUAGACACGAUACUCCGACUGACUGCGACAUUGACAAUGUAUCUGUUUUGAAUGAGUAGCAGUACUAUCUGUUUUGUAAUUGUGUGGUUGGUGUGGUCAUAUUUGUCUUUAUCUAUGAAGCACGGACACUAGACAUGAUAUUGAUUGCGACACUAUACAUGAU